CCAAUGUGGAAACGUAAAUCAUAUAUGGAGGGUUUCCGCCAUAAAUUUGAAUAUGAAAACGACAGAUCAGAGUUACAUGUGCACGGCUACUGUAACAGUAUAACUUUAAACCAUCCCCUCGCCCCGACACGGGCGCGAACCAAGGACCCUCUGCACACAUCAACAACGGUCGCCCACGAAGCAAGGUGCAACCCUACUUCUAGGUUUCAGAGCAACUGAUUGAAACGCUAGUAGCGCGUACCCGCUAACUAGCUAGCCAUUUCACAUCGUUACACUCAUCCCCCUUUCAACCUCCUCCUUUUCCGCAGCAACCAGUGAUCCGGGUCAACAUGUAACAGUAUAACUUUAAACCGUCCCCUCGCCCCAACACGGGCGCGAACCAGGGACCAUCUGCACACAUCAACAACAGUCACCCACGAAGCAGUGUUACCCAUUGCUCCACAAAGGCCGCGGCCCUUGCAGAGCAAGGGGCAACCCUAAUGUCUCAGAGCAAGUGACGUAACUGAUUGAAAUGCUACUAGCGCGUACCCGCUAACUAGCUAGCCAUUUCACAUCCGUUACACUAUGUCUGUUUAUUAUAGGCUUAAUGCCAAUCAUCUAUUGUGAUUACUGUAAUUUGACAUUUAUACAGUAGUAAUGUAGGCCAACAUGUACUUUUAUCAUGAUGCUAAAGCAAAUUAAAGAUGGCAGACUAUCAAAAAGUGGAGGUGGGUGGAAUUUUCAUUGGAGGUCAAUUUGAACAGACUCAUUUCUGUAGGAAAGAUAAUUAGGCCUUGAAAUAUACUGAUGUGUUAUAAUUAUUUUCAUGGUGUGGUUUUCAUAUAAGCCCUUGGGCUUCCAACAACACCUGCAAACUGCUUCUUUUUUUAAUAAUAUAUAUAUAUAUUUUUUUACAUCUGUAUUGUUGUCUAUUCUCUGGCGCAUUCUCUUUGGUGCAAAAAAAAAGAAAAAAGGGAACAUGUAGAUUAUUGGUCCCAUAUUUCAUGAACUGAAAUAAAAUAUCCCAGAACCUUUC